rnacentral:rRNA from 1 species
UACGUAGGUGGCGAGCGUUGUCCAGAUUUAUUGGGCGUAAAGCGCGCGCAGGUGGUGCGGUAAGUCUGUCGUGAAAUCUCCCGGCUCAACUGGGAGGGUGCGGUGGAGACUGCCGGACUGGAGGCACUCAGAGGCCGGUGGAAUUCCCGGUGUAGUGGUGAAAUGCGUAGAGAUCGGGAGGAACACCAGUGGCGAAGGCGGCCGGCUGGGGGUGACCUGACGCUGAGGCGCGAAAGCGUGGGGAGCGAACCGG